GGGGCUAUAGCUCAGGCGGUUAGAGCGCUUCACUGAUAAUGAAGAGGUCCCAGGUUCAAGUCCUGGUAGCCCCACCG
rnacentral:tRNA from 26 species